AUUUCUCACAUCUUGGUGAGAUUCCUAACCAUUAAAAACUGUCUGAAUAUGAAGCAAAAUGAGGUUUAUCACACUUGCGUAAAAAUGCACACCCUUAGCUGAGGCAGUAAAUGUAUAUCAGAACUGACCAGAUGAACACAUUUCUCACAUCUUGGCAGUAAAUGUAUAUCACAACUGACCACAUUUCUCACAUCUUGGUGAGAUUCCUAACCAUUAAAAAAUGUCUGAAUAUGAAGCAAAAUGAGGUUUAUCACACUUGCAUAAAAAUGCACAC
rnacentral:lncRNA from 1 species